rnacentral:lncRNA from 1 species
GGCAUCGAGCGCCCUGCGCUCGUCCCCCUUUCCUUCUGGGGGUGGCUGGUGCUCUCCAGAGGAGAGGCCUUGGCAGGGACUGUGCCGUGCGCUUACCCAUUUCUCAGCCCCUCAGCUGGUGCUGCGGGACCCGGCAGCGGGAUCUGUCCACCCUCCAUGGAGGACUUGCAGGGAGGGAUCCGGUCAGUCCCUCCUCGUGUGACCUCAGCGCUGAGCUUCACGGCCUGGUGACUCCCCUUCAGACCCUCCCUGCUCGUCUCCUGCCCACAUUUGAAUCCGCUCUCUGUCUCCUACUGGGUUGUAGGAGUCUCCCUCCUCGGGUAGACGGUCAGCAAGUGCUUUCUCUCCUGUGUCCUCUCCUGGCGACGGUGGCCUCUGCACGGCGUGAUGCAACCCAAACGCUUUUUUCGCUCCUUGCUGUGCUUUUGGUGUCUCACCUAAGGAGCCACCACCUGGCCCAGCCCCGAAGUCUUGCUCCUCUGCCCUUCUAAGGCCUCUGAAGCUGCAGCCCCCGCUCGGGCCUCCACUCGCGCUGGUUCACCUUCGGCGUGAGGCAGGGGCCACCUUGCUUCUUUUGCAGGUGGAGACGCAGCUGUUCCAGCACCAGUUUUUGGAAAGACUGCCCUUUCCCCUCUGGAUGGCCUGUGCCUGUGUUGAAAGUCAGCUGACCACCUGUGCAAGGGCUCAAAGCGAUGGAGAGGGACAGCUGCUGGUGUUCAAAGGCCUAGCUCACAGGAGGCACCUCCUGCACGUGGCCUGGCCCCAGGGACACACACAUGUCGGACAAUGAGGCUCAGACGGAGGACAUGGCGUCCUCUCCUGAGAGAGCUGGAGUGCCGUAGGCAGGUGGGCGCGGCUACAGCUCAGGCUGUCUUCUCCCUGCAGUGUCUCAUGGCUCUAGUGGUCA